CAGUAGCCACGGUAAUACGUAGGGUGCAAGCGUUAAUCGGAAUUACUGGGCGUAAAGCGUUCGCAGGCGGUUAUAUAAGACAGAUGUGAAAGCCCCGGGCUCAACCUGGGAACUGCAUUUGUGACUGUGUAGCUAGAGUACGGAAGAGGGGGGUGGAAUUCCGCGUGUAGCAGUGAAAUGCGUAGAUAUGCGGAGGAACACCGAUGGCGAAGGCAAUCCCCUGGGCCUGUACUGACGCUCAUGCACGAAAGCGUGGGGAGCAAACAGGAUUAGAUACCCCGGUAGUCCCUGUCUCUUAUAC
rnacentral:rRNA from 1 species